rnacentral:rRNA from 1 species
GACGAACGCUGGCGGCGUGCCUAACACAUGCAAGUCGAACGAGAUCCAUGGGAGCUUGCUCCCGGAAGAUCUAGUGGCGAACGGGUGAGUAACACGUGAGAAACCUGCCCUGGAGUGGGGAAUAACUCGGGGAAACUCGAGCUAAUACCGCAUACCCUCGGAUGGUCGCAUGGCCGACCGAGGAAAGAUUUAUCGCUCUAGGAGGGUCUCGCGGCCUAUCAGCUAGUUGGUGGGGUAACGCCUACCAAGGCAACGACGGGUAGCUGGUUUGAGAGAACGAUCAGCCACACUGGGACUGAGACACGGCCCAGACUCCUACGGGAGGCAGCAGUGGGGAAUCUUGCGCAAUGGGCGAAAGCCUGACGCAGCAACGCCGCGUGCGGGAUGACGGCCUUCGUGGUUGUAAACCGCUUUCAGCAGGUCGAAAUAGACGGUACCUGCAGAAGAAGACCCCGGCUAACUACGUGCCAGCAGCCGCGGUA